GAGGUUGUGGCUCAGUGGUAGAGCACUUGCCUAGCAUGUGUGAGGCCCUGGGUUCGAUCCUCAGCACCACA
rnacentral:tRNA from 2 species